UAGUGUGCAAGAAUAGAGAACACAUCCCACCCACCCAUGCCGCUCACUCCUCUCCACACGGCAACAACAGAUAAAUCCCCUAGGUUCGCCGGCCAGCGCGACCGGCGAGAAUCCAACAGCAGCGCCAACGGGGCGCGAACCGGCGAUUGUGAGCACCACAUCGAGGCUGGCUCUGCCACUCGAUCCGCAUCCUCGUCCAUGAAGAACUGGUAACCUGAAUCAAAAGGAACCCAACUUCAGAAACUAGCUGCAGCGUAGACAUCAAGCAAGGGUACCACAUCGCAGCGUAGAGAUAGUCGCCUGGCUACCGGAUCCAUUCUGGGCUUGAGGUGAAGGCGAUGCUUAAUGACAGUCGUGGUGUCCUAGGUGAAGACGAUGCUUAAUGGCCAGCGUAGACAGUCGCCUGGCUCUUCUAGGAUACCACGACUGUCAUUAAGCAUCAUCUUCACUUCAAAUAGAUCCGAGGUUGAGCAGCAGGACAUCCUCCACGCAUGUAAGCUCCCAAUACUUCAGAGACAUAAGAUUUUUGUGGAUGGAUGCGGGGGGAGACAGAUUUUUAUCGCCUGUUUUUGACAUUUUUUUACGGUCGUUCUUGGUCUCUAUGGCUCCACUAGGUUUGGAGAAGGAAGAAAGGCAGCAUUAGUAGUGGGUGAGACAUGGUGGUUGGGCUUUGAACUUCCUUUCCUUUUUGAUCCGGGUUUUGACCUCUCCCAUGUCGCGAUUUUAUAUACAAUUCUAGUUACUUAUUGUAAAUUCCCCAAAAAAAUAACUAGUUGGCACGUAGUAGCCAUAUUAUAAAAUAAAUUCAAGCCACUGGCCAUCUCCUCUGAUUUACUUGCUUUCCGGUUUGUAGUAUUUAUCAUAAUCCCUCCAUUCUAAAAAUACAGUGCAUAUUUUGUUUUCUAAAAGCCAAGAAAAAUUUAUCGACAUCGACAAUACAAAUUAGUAUCAUUAAACUCAUUAUGAAGUGUACUUUAUAUUUUAUUUAUUCAGUACUUUAGAUAUAAAUACGCUAAAAACUUGGUCAAACAUAGAAACAUUUGACUUUGAAAAAACAAAAUAUGCACUAUAUAGUUGAAGGGAGGGAGUACUGUUCUCAGUUGAUUUUAUUAUCUGCUGUGUUUCGUAUGCCCUUUAUUUUGAUCCAUAAUAAUGCAGGUAUUUGGCAGACUGGCACUGACACAUUCCUCUGUUCUGUGAAGCAAACAGAGUUAAGAUUAUAAUCAGCAGCGAUUCUUCGUUCUUCAAUCCAGAAAAAGCUGAUAUCAGCUUUUGGAAACAAUGAAGCUAGCUUAUGGAUUAGUCUUCCUGGGGUUCUUACAGUCUGUUGCAUAUCAGAUGUUUGAUCAACAGGUCCAGGCUCUGUUUGAGGUGAAGAUGGUGCUUAAUGACAGUCGUGGUGUCCUAGAAGACUGGAAUCGCUAUAUAGAUACUGCAUGUAGUACUAUUGCUACUGUCAUGUGUGAUCCUGACGGCAACGUGGUCGAAAUCAUGUACAUGUGUUCACAAGACUAUUGGCUUGGCUUCUCAUUUCUGAAUUUGUAGAAGCUUGAGCUCGUCAGGGUUAAGUGGAAUCUUGUCGCCCAACAUUGCGAAGUUGACAACACUACAAUGACUGUAAGAUCAAGCAUCAAUUACUUAUGAAAUAUAUGAUUUUUUCCUCAUAAAAAUGGUGUAUUGAUAGAUAUCCGUUAAAAAUGGUUUACUAUCGUUGUUGUCAUAUAUCUCCGGUUCAGGUUUUUAGAUGAUAAUAAUACAACUGGAGGAAUACCACAGGAGGUUGGGAAUCUUUUAAGUCUGACAAGUCUUAAACUUGAAAAUAAUCAAUUCAAUGGCUCAAUAUCCGAUUUUCUUGGGCGCAUUUUGAAACUGCAAAAUUUGUAUGUCAGACCAUGACUUGUGUUAUCUCUUAGUAUUAUGGUUAAUUAAUAAACAUAAGGGUGUGGUAACUUCAAUAGGGUUCUGAGCCAAAAUCCUCUAAGUGGAAAUAUUCCAAUCUCUUUGUCAAAUAUAUUCCAUCAUUGAAUUCCAUGCUGAUACAAGAAGAAAAAUGACUGAAUGUUAUUGUUGUCAUUGCAAUCCUUGUAUUUAUUUUAAUAAGCAAAUAACACCAUAUGAAUUCAAUUAUCUAAUGAUCUACGUUUUGUGUUCUGCAACAAUCUGUCGUACAACAAUCUUAGUGGUGAAAUACCUGAACAACUACAUGCGUCCCUAUACAAGUAUGGCCUGCCUGAACUUUAAUAAUCCCUCUAAUCCGAAUUAGUUGACACAGCCUCUAUACAAUGUCCAUAUUACAUUGUAUAGAGGUUGCGUCAAAUAAUUCAGAUCGAAUGGAGUAGCUUAUAUUUGUAUAAGCAAUUUUAUGCGCUCCUUCAAUUAACAUAAUGAGUGUAAUCAUGUGGUUCUAGCUGAACCGUCAACCACUUAAAUUGUGGUUCACACUUAAUGUCAUGCAGAGGAAACAUUAACAAUACAAGUAAUCCAGAAACCUACAUGACAAUCCAUAUGGACAUUCGGAAUUAAAAACACGUGCUUGCAUUUCAUACUUAACAUUUAUUAACAGGUGGAUCAAGAAAAUCCACCAUAAAAGUGGUUCUUGGAUGCAUUGGUGGAGCAAUAGUUGUUGUUGCUAUGUGUGUUCUAAUCUUGCGAAGAAUGCCUUGCCGAUGUGAUUUAUUUUUUAUGUUCCAGGUUAGUUAGGAUUAAGGGAUAUUUUUGUUAAUGCAUGUUUACCAUAUUGAAAUUUUCACCAUGAAAAUAAUUUUCCAUCUAUUAUAGUGGAAUUCUACAAAGAAAGGUUUUUUUAUCAACUAAGGACAUGAUAAACAUGUAAAUUAAAUUCAACAUGAGCAUUGUCUCAGCCUAGAUCUUGGGCCGGCAUAAUAAUUAUCGUUGCAUCAUUUCAUGAUUGCAGCAAGAAAUUUGAGUAAAGAAAAUUUUCUUGGCAAGGGCUCUUUAACUGAGGUUUACAAAGGAGUUCUUCCAGGCCGAGACAAUAAGGCGAUUGCCAUCAAACGAAUGGUUAAAGUAGAAAAUUAUAGACAUGAUAGGGCUUUGAAAUAAGAAGCUGAAGUUAUAAGUGUGGCUAUCCAUAGGAACUUACUAAAAUUGAUAGGGUAUUGCAUGGCACAAGGGAGCGCUGCUUGGUUUAGAAACUAAUAUCACAUUACCAGUAGAUUUUUUUCUUAUAUAUUUUUCUAUGCACAUAUCUUAUUGAUGGCUUUGCUCAGUUGAACUAUUCAGUUCUAUUAGUCUUUGGCAGACACAAUGUCUUAUUUCUGUGAAUGAUGAAAUAUAGAUCUCUGACACCGUCAAAAGUAAAGAUAAUUGAAUUAUCUCUACUUGUAUGAGACACAAAUAAUAACAAGAAAGUCAUUCUUGGAUAAUAUUAUAUCAUUAUAGUUUGCUUCGAACUAUCGUCGAGAAAACUGAUGAAAUCACAUAAAUAUGCGGGUAUAAAACUAAAUGAACCAACAUUGGAUUGGAAAGAAGAAUGAAAAUUGCUCUUGGCACUGCCCUUGGUUUGGAAUACCUUCAUGAUAACUGUAACUCCCUGAUUAUCCAUGGUGAUAUCAAGGUUGUCAAUGUCCUGCUCGAUGGAAAUUUUGAAGUUGUGCUAGGAGACUUUGGACUGCCAAUCCAAGGGAAGGAAAUAAUGAUGAUAGAGAUCUAGGGAACAUUGAGCUACAUGGCUCCAGAGUACAUGAGAGACAUCAACGAAAACUGACAUAUAUGGAUAUGUUGGCUUGGUGUUAGAGAUUGUGACGGGAAAGGGUCCAGGCUUCCAUGCUAAUCCAUUAUAGUGUUGUCAACUUCGCAAUGCUGGGCGAGAAGACUUCACGUAACCCUACGAGCUCGAGCUUCUACAAGUUAAGAAACGAGAAGCUAAGCCAAUAGUCUUGUGAACACACAGGUACGUGUUAUUGCAAACUUGUCAAGUGAUUACAGCAUCUUGAUUAUUUUUGUCACGACUAUUUGCUUUCUCAGAUUGCUGAUCCACGGUCCUCCUGCUGAUUCCAAUGCUGACUUGAUCCUGUUAGAGUUGAUCAAGAUAAUCCACGUGUUGUGAUGCAAUCACUGAUUAAUUGGUGUGGAAUGUAGUGCUCUAUUUGAGAGAUCGAGAUGUGACCAUUUAAGUUUGAGAGAUGCAAGAGAACGUGCUAUGUACUGCUCUACAUACACCAAUAAUGCAUUCACUGUUCACGCUUAUAUGGUCAGCUCAUAUGUGGUUAUCGAAGCAGGAAAAGUUCUUGAGAAGGACUCUAAUUGCCAUGGACCUCGAGAUUUCUGAUGCUUAUUACUAUUGUAUAUUGCCGUUGACAUUGGACUUGCUAUUUCUGUAACAGGGACAUUGGAAUCGCUGUUCAUCUAGAGGAGUCAGUGCCAAAUCUACGUCGGAAUAAUGCAAUGUUAAUGAUUGGAGAUGGAUUGACUCCUACCAAAGACUGAUCCCAAGCAGAACUACAACCUGUCCAUGGAUUACCUGCAGGCCUGCAUUCUAACCAACAACAUUGGGCAGUGAGCGGGAGGAGCGACCGGCGACCAGCGAACGGGCGGUGGCGAGCGGAGACUGCCAGUGGUGAGCGGGCGGUGGCGACCUCGAGCGGUCGGCACCAGUGGCGAGCAGGCAAUCUCACCGCGACUGGCGAGCGGACAGGGCGAGUAGGUGCCACGAACUGCACCUCAAUUGGAAUACAGUAAAGAAUGAGAUCUUUUACAGUACUUCUAAAUAAUGUGAGCCGUUCAUUUCCGGCCAUUCAAUGGUCUAGAUCGACCAAUACUACCAGACACAAUCAGAAGUAUUUUUUGUUCAAGGGGCAAAAUUGGAAGACACACAAAACAAAUACAAAACUCUACUUGCUGAA